rnacentral:lncRNA from 1 species
CCCCCUUGCGGGGCCCGCCCCCAGCCAGGAGCUAAACUAGCGGUUGCACAGCUUUCCCAAGCUAGCAAAGAGCCCUUGGGGAAGCGCGCUCAUUGGUGGACCAGGCUGGCCUUGAACUCAGAGAUCUGCCUGCUUCUGCAGAGUGCUGGGAUUGAAGGCGAGUACCUUCAUUUGACUUCUUUUCCUAUGUGUUUCCCAUGAAUUUCCUUCCCUUACCUGACUGCUCUAGAGUUUCUGCAUCGCAUUGAAAAGAAAUGGGGAUAGUGGGAUGCCGUCUCCUGAUUUUAAUGGGAUUUGCUUUGGGAUUUUCUUCAAUUACCAUGUUGUUUGUGGAUUUGUACGGUCUACAGGAAGGAGUUAUGAACGGUACUAUAAAUAUAGCCAAUGGAUAGGCCAGAGGCCUGCGGGAGAAGAACUUAUUUGCUGCCAGUUUCCUAGGCCAAAAUCAUUUCUGUUUUCUAAAAACUUAUAUCCACAGAUAAGUGCAGCUCUCACCCCUCAUCAAAGAACUUCCUUUUCAACAGAUGAAGACAAUCAGAGUUCCACAACUGAUCAGAAUGCUGAGAAUUCGCAACUGUGGGGAUAGAUUCCCCGCUUACGAGGUUUGGCAGCAGGCCGGCAAGAUGUGCAGAGGCCACGGCUGUGCACGUGACCUGAGAAGUCACCAACCGAAAGACAAAUGAUCCACGAUGCUUGCUGUCUUCCAUGGUGGGAAGGCGUUGUCCUAACCCCAUGAGGACACGCUCCAACAACAAAACCUCAGAGGCAGACUGAUGGACUCCUCUCAGUUCCCAGCCUUUGUCCUCACGGGGCACAGAACACAUCUCGCCAGGUCCUGACAGCGCAGUUUGAUGCAAAGGGACCACUGUCUCUGUGUCCCCUACAUUUCAACAUGGGCUGAUAGAGUCUUACAAGGAGGGUGAACCCUAGGCCAUAAACAGGGCCUCACCCCAGAAGUCAGAAACCCAAGGGCAGUUUUUCCCACAGAGCUGGUCUGUACACCACCUUCCAGAAGGAGUUCUCGGAGUCAGCUCCGUGACUCUGUAGCUGUGGGGCUUCGGACGGUGGACAUGAGAUGGGACUUGUAGGUUUUGCUCAGUCCCGUCAUCCAGAACUUCAGCAGUUUGACGUUGUCCUCCUCUGAUGCGCCUAGGACGCUUAGGAGCUUCUGUGUGUCCUCCUUGGGGCGACUGUCUACCUUGGUGAAUUUAAACAGGACUUUCACUUUGCUGUGGAAAACAAAGACAAACACUCAGGCCCACAGUCCAGUCAAGCUCUCCUCAUGCGGCCCAAGGAGAGCUCUGCAGGCCCCACUGGAGCUGCAGCAGGCCAGGCUUAGGGGCUCAUCCCGAGGAAGGCCAGACCACUGUAGCAAAAGGAAAUGAGUGCUGUAGUAGUCUCAGCUACUCGGGAGGCCGAAGCAGGAGGAUUCCUUGAAUGCAGGGAAGUUCAAAGCCUGCCUGGCUCAGACAGGGAGGGAAAUCCCUCUUGAAAAAGAAGAGAGAGGCCGGGCGGUGGUGGCGGCGCA